GUUCAUGAGAUUACAUUUCCGUAAAUGUGAAAAGGAAUCAUAAGUUAGAAAUAAAAAAUAUUUUUAUAAGAAUGAUUUUCUUUUCAGUGGUCUUGUUAAUUACUUAGACUCAUCGUCAACUUCCUCAAGUAGUUCCUUUGCAUGACGCCUACCUUUCUGCGAAACCUUAGGAUUGUGCAUGGCAGCUUUAUAGCCUCCACGAACAUUACCCAAAUUUUUUGCUUGAGACUCGUUGUCUUCAAAUUGAUUUUUGGUUCCAAAACCUUCUUCUCUUAACUCUCCGGCAUCAUCAGCGUCGGCUUUUUGCCCACGAGUCGUACCAGUCGUGUAGUGAGAUUCACUUCCAUGCUCUUUCAAAUAUUUUCUUGCUCUUUCUUUAGCUUCCUCAGAGACAUGGGGAUUGCUCAAGGCAGCUUUGUGGCCAGCGAUAAUAUGUGCAGGAUCAGGCAUUAUUAAGGGGAAAAGUGUUAGAAAUAAUUAUGAGAAGACAUUGGCAAGCAAACUAUAUGUACCACAAGAAGAGGCUACAAUUAUUUCAUAUUAAUUCACUUUACUGGUAACUUUCGAAUUAAAUUACGCAUGAUUGUGACAUAAUUAAAACAUCAAGGAUGUUUGAUAUAGAAAACGACGUUAAUUUCGAUUGCGAUUUGACGUUCUCUACAUGCUUUUUUGCAUGGUUUGGUGGCAGCUUUAAUUACCUCAUCUAUAGUCAUUAUAUUCUACUGUAAUAUGCGCCAUACAAGUGAUAAAUGAAUUAACGAUUGUCCGUACUUAACGUUUAAAUAAUUCGCUUAAACAAUUUUGAAAAAAUUACUUUGUUUAUUUUAGUGAUAUUAAGAUGCAAUUUUUUUAUUUUUUUACAAUAAAUUUAGGAUACAAUUUAAAAGAUUUUUGCG